UAUGAAGGGUGCAAGCGUUAAUCGGAAUUACUGGGCGUAAAGCGCGCGUAGGUGGCUUGAUAAGUUGGAUGUGAAAUCCCCGGGCUCAACCUGGGAACUGCAUCUGAUACUGGCAAGCUUGAGUCUCGUAGAGGGGGGUAGAAUUCCAGGUGUAGCGGUGAAAUGCGUAGAGAUCUGGAGGAAUACCGGUGGCGAAGGCGGCCCCCUGGACGAAGACUGACGCUCAGGUGCGAAAGCGUGGGGAGCAAACAGGAUUAGAUACCCUGGUAGUCCACGCCGUAAACGAUGUCGACUUGGAGGUUGUGCCCUUGAGGCGUGGCUUCCGGAGCUAACGCGUUAAGUCGACCGCCUGGGGAGUACGGCCGCAAGGUUAAAACUCAGAGGAAUUGACGG
rnacentral:rRNA from 1 species